GACGAACGCUGGCGGCGUGCCUAAUACAUGCAAGUAGAACGCACAGUUUAUACCGUAGCUUGCUACACCAUAGACUGUGAGUUGCGAACGGGUGAGUAACGCGUAGGUAACCUGCCUGGUAGCGGGGGAUAACUAUUGGAAACGAUAGCUAAUACCGCAUAAUAUUAAUUAUUGCAUGACAAUUAAUUGAAAGGUGCAAUUGCACCACUACCAGAUGGACCUGCGUUGUAUUAGCUAGUAGGUGAGGUAACGGCUCACCUAGGCGACGAUACAUAGCCGACCUGAGAGGGUGAUCGGCCACACUGGGACUGAGACACGGCCCAGACUCCUACGGGAGGCAGCAGUAGGGAAUCUUCGGCAAUGGACGAAAGUCUGACCGAGCAACGCCGCGUGAGUGAAGAAGGUUUUCGGAUCGUAAAGCUCUGUUGUAAGAGAAGAACGGGUGUGAGAGUGGAAAGUUCACACUGUGACGGUAUCUUACCAGAAAGGGACGGCUAACUACGUG
rnacentral:rRNA from 1 species